CAGCAAUCUCCCACUGAUUUUGCAUUCCAGCAAAUACACCAAGGCAAUCCCAGGGCUCUAGAGUGCAAAGGCCCAAGUAUCUUUUCAUAUUCCUCAUCUUCAAAGCUGUGCAGCCGGACACCUGAGCACCAUGCCUGAAAUCUUUAUUUGCUAAUAAUACUUGAAAGGAGAAUUUCUUAUUAAUUCUAGAAUCCUCAUGGCUUUAUGAGCUGAACACAGGGAUCAAAUUAUCCUGCAACAAAUGAAAACACUCCUGCUAACAACGCAUUGUAUAAAGCUUGGAUAUCGUCAGGAAAAGGGCAACACAGUCUUACCCAGACUGACAUGAGGCAAACACAGAUAGCAUAAA